rnacentral:rRNA from 1 species
GAUCCUGGCUCAGGAUGAACGCUGGCGGCGUGCUUAACACAUGCAAGUCGAACGAAGCACUUUAUUUGAUUUCCUUCGGGACUGAUUAUUUUGUUGACUGAGUGGCGGACGGGUGAGUAACGCGUGGGUAACCUGCCUUGUACAGGGGGAGUAACAGUUGGAAACGGCUGCUAAUACCGCAUAAGCGCACGGCAUCGCAUGAUGCAGUGUGAAAAACUCCGGUGGUAUAAGAUGGACCCGCG